UAUGGCGAUAUCACACUGAAACACCGAUUUUCAUACAAUCACCUAAGUUAAGCAACAUUGAACCUGGUCAGUACCUAGAUGAGUGGUCUUUUGGGAAUACCAGAUGCUGUAA